UACGUAGGGUGCGAGCGUUGUCCGGAAUUAUUGGGCGUAAAGAGCUCGUAGGCGGUUUGUCGCGUCGGCCGUGAAAACUUGGGGCUUAACCCCAAGCCUGCGGUCGAUAUGGGCAGACUUGAGUUCGGCAGGGGAGACUGGAAUUCCUGGUGUAGCGGUGAAAUGCGCAGAUAUCAGGAGGAACACCGGUGGCGAAGGCGGGUCUCUGGGCCGAUACUGACGCUGAGGAGCGAAAGCGUGGGGAGCGAACAGG
rnacentral:rRNA from 1 species